rnacentral:rRNA from 1 species
AACGUAGGGGGCGAGCGUUGCCCGGAUUCACUGGGCGUAAAGCGGGUGUAGGCGGUCCGUUAAGUCGGAUGUGAAAUCUCCGAGCUCAACUCGGAAACUGCAUCCGAUACUGACGGACUUGAGGACGGUAGAGGUCGGUGGAAUGACCAGUGUACCGGUGAAAUGGACAGAUAUUGGUCGGAACACCAGUGGCGAAGGCGGCCGACUGGGCCGAUCCUGACGCUGAGACCCGAAAGCCAGGGUAGCGAACCGG